rnacentral:tRNA from 1 species
GCUGGUGUAUCUCAAUUGGUAGAGGCGCUGAUUUGUAAUCAGAAUGUUGUAGGUUCGAGUCCUAUCAUCAGCUCCA